AUGGUGAAUGAACUUUAUCCAUAUAUUGUAGAGUUUGAGGAAGAGGCAAAGAACCCUGGCCUGGAAACACACAGGAAGAGGAAGAGAUCAGGCAACAGUGAUUCUAUAGAAAGGGAUGCUGCUCAGGAAGCUGAGCCUGGGACAGGGCUGGAACCUGGGAGCAACCCUAGCCAAUGCUCUGUGCCCCUAAAGAAGGGAAAAGAUGCACCUAUCAAAAAGGAAUCCCUGGGCCACUGGAGUCAAGGCUUGAAGAUUUCUAUGCAGGACCCCAAAAUGCAGGUUUACAAAGAUGAGCAGGUGGUGGUGAUAAAGGAUAAAUACCCAAAGGCCCGUUACCAUUGGCUGGUCUUACCGUGGACCUCCAUUUCCAGUCUGAAGGCUGUGACCAGGGAACACCUUGAACUCCUCAAGCAUAUGCACACUGUGGGGGAAAAGGUGAUUGUAGAUUUUGCUGGGUCCAGCAAACUCCGCUUCCGAUUGGGCUACCACGCCAUUCCGAGUAUGAGCUGGCUGGGUGUGGGGAAGACCUGCCAGAGCCACAGAGGACAAGGUGGUU
rnacentral:sRNA from 1 species